rnacentral:rRNA from 1 species
GACAGAGGAUGCAAGCGUUAUCCGGAAUGAUUGGGCGUAAAGCGUCUGUAGGUGGCUUUUUAAGUCUGCCGUCAAAUCCCAGGGCUUAACCUUGGACAGGCGGUGGAAACUACCAAGCUGGAGUACGGUAGGGGCAGAGGGAAUUUCCGGUGGAGCGGUGAAAUGCGUAGAGAUCGGAAAGAACACCAACGGCGAAGGCACUCUGCUGGGCCGACACUGACACUGAGAGACGAAAGCUAGGGGAGCAAACAGG